rnacentral:rRNA from 1 species
GCGGAGGAAAAGAAACCAACAGGGAUUACCUCAGUAACGGCGAGUGAAGCGGUAACAGCUCAAAUUUGAAAUCUGGCCUCACGGUCCGAGUUGUAAUUUGUAGAGGAUGCUUCGAGCAUGGUCUGGCCUAAGUUCCUUGGAACAGGACGUCAUAGAGGGUGAGAAUCCCGUAUGCGGCCAGGUGCCUACGCUCAUGUGAAGCUCCUUCGACGAGUCGAGUUGUUUGGGAAUGCAGCUCAAAAUGGGUGGUAAAUUUCAUCUAAAGCUAAAUAUUGGCCAGAGACCGAUAGCGCACAAGUAGAGUGAUCGAAAGAUGAAAAGCACUUUGGAAAGAGAGUUAAACAGUACGUGAAAUUGUUGAAAGGGAAGCGCUUGCAACCAGACUUGCGCGCGGCCGAUCAUCCGGUGUUCUCACCGGUGCACUCGGCCGUGCUCAGGCCAGCAUCGGUUUUGGCGGCUGGAUAAAGGCCCUAGGAAUGUAGCUCCUCUCGGGGAGUGUUAUAGCCUAGGGUGCAAUGCAGCCUGCUGGGACCGAGGACCGCGCUUCGGCUAGGAUGCUGGCGUAAUGGUUGUAAGCGGCCCGUCUUGA